UACGGGGGGUGCGAGCGUUGUCCGGAAUCACUGGGCGUAAAGGGCGCGUAGGUGGCGUGAUAAGGGUGUGGUGAAAGCCCGGGGCUCAACCCCGGGUCUGCCAUGCCGACUGUCAGGCUCGAGUGCUGUAGGGGCAGGCGGAAUUCCUGGUGUAGCGGUGAAAUGCGCAGAUAUCAGGAGGAACACCGGUGGCGAAGGCGGGUCUCUGGGCCGAUACUGACGCUGAGGAGCGAAAGCGUGGGGAGCGAACAGG
rnacentral:rRNA from 1 species